rnacentral:rRNA from 1 species
ACGAACGCUGGCGGCGUGGAUAAGACAUGCAAGUCGGACGGAGAUCUUGAAUAGCUUGCUAAUUAAGAUCUUAGUGGCGGACGGGUUAGUAACACGUGAGAACCUACCCUUUAGACAGGAAUAGCCCAUGGAAACGUGGAUUAAUGCCUGAUAGUCUCUACGGAGUAAAUGGUGCCUUCGGGUACCGCUAGAGGAUGGGCUCGCGGCCUAUCAGCUUGUUGGUGAGGUAAAGGCUCACCAAGGCGACGACGGGUAGCUGGUCUGAGAGGACGAUCAGCAACACUGGAACUGAGACACGGUCCAGACACCUACGGGUGGCAGCAGUCGAGAAUCAUUCACAAUGGAGGCAACUCUGAUGGUGCAACGCCGCGUGGAGGAUGACGGUCCUAGGAUUGUAAACUCCUGUCAUUGGGGAGUAAGACUUAAGCGUUAAGAGCGUUUAAGUUUGAUAGUACCCAAAGAGGAAGGGACGGCUAACUUCGUGCC